UACGGAGGGGGCUAGCGUUGUUCGGAAUUACUGGGCGUAAAGCGCACGUAGGCGGCUUUGUAAGUUAGAGGUGAAAGCCCGGGGCUCAACUCCGGAAUUGCCUUUAAGACUGCAUCGCUAGAAUUGUGGAGAGGUAAGUGGAAUUCCGAGUGUAGAGGUGAAAUUCGUAGAUAUUCGGAAGAACACCAGUGGCGAAGGCGACUCACUGGACACGUAUUGACGCUGAGGUGCGAAAAGCGUGGGGAGCAAACAGG
rnacentral:rRNA from 1 species